UCCCUUGUAGCUCAGUCGGUAAAGCACCUGCCUGCAGUAUAGGAGACCCAGAUUCGAUCCCUGGGUUGGGAA
rnacentral:tRNA from 1 species